rnacentral:tRNA from 1 species
GCCCCGGUAGCUCAGCGGGAGAGCGUCCGGCUGAAGACCGGAAGGUCGGGGGUUCAAAUCCCCCCCGGGGCA